AGUCCAGGCAGCCACCUGGCCUGAGACUGGCCUGGCUUUGCCGUUUCCUUUGGCAGCUCCCAAGACCUGAGGGUAGGAGUCCUGGGCAGCUGGGACCUGCCAGGCCAUUCUGUAUCUCCCAUGGGGCUCACGACCCAGGGACCCCCGUUCCUAUCUGAGAGGACCACUUCUUCCUGAAGCUGGAACCCGAUACUUGUUGGUGCCAACAACUGAAACCAGACUGUGGAUGGCUACAUGUCGCUUCACUCAAUGGCUGUUGGCCACGCAGGAAAAGAGGGUGUGUGAGCCGGGGGAAGACCAUGGUCAUCAGGAUCAUCAGCUCUGCAGGACUCUGAGACACCAUUCCUGGCUCCCAAGGCCUAGCACUGCCUCCAACCAGCUGGUGACAUGCCAAGAUGGAGAUGCGCCCAAUGGCAUGAGGAACUCAGUCAGGACCAACCUUGACCCCUGCUCCGGAUAUGGCAAACUGAUGUGCAGACACAUGUUUUCACGUGGAGCACGUGUGUCCAUUUGGAGGCCAGAAGUCAACCUCAGUAUUGUUCACUCAGCAAAUAUUGAACAAUAUUCUUUGGCACCGAGGACUCAGUCUAGCAAGGAAAUGAGCUGUCAAACAAACAUGACGCACCACAAGCCCAGGGCAUGUGGGAAGGUCUCAGGAGGGAGAGCUGCUUAGCCUCAACCUGGCGCAUGGGCACAGGCCACCACGCAGACAAGAAAUGAAGGCACUGAAGGAAGCUAAAGAUGCCCCCAUUGUUGCUGUCUGCUGCUGCCUGCUGCUGCCUGCUGCUGCCUGCUGCUGCCUGCUGCAUUGGUAACCCUCCCCAGCAUCCCUGGAGAGACACCAUCCCAGUGUUCUAUACAACAGGCAAUAAGUAAACACCUGUUGGGGCUAGUGCCAUCGAUAUUGCCCGUGCUCAAUUAAAUAUGUCAUUUGUUUGGGAACUGGGGGGCCUUCUGUGUGGCAGUUUCAACGUUAAUAAACGAAUGAGUAAGUCAGCAA
rnacentral:lncRNA from 1 species